rnacentral:lncRNA from 1 species
AUAUUGAUUAGUGAUGCCACUCAAGGAGCUAUCGACUUUUGAUCUUGAAGGCAUGCAUCCACCGAUCAGUCUCAAUCUAAACCAGCAACCAAUAUCAUCACUUUCAUCAUCUUUACCACUUCUGCCCACAUCUUUCACCUUCUUCUUCUUCUGAUUAUGCUGCUUCCUUGUCGAUUUCACCUCAAACUGCUGCUGCUUGGGUUUGG